UCGCCUCAAUUCACACAGGGCCGCGGCGUGACCACGCCAGCCGCUCCUGGCAGGCACCGGGGCAGGCCUACAUCUGGCAUGUAAAACCCCAGGCCACCCCGCAGCCCCCCUCGCAGACUCGCCUUGUCUGAAAACCAGCUCUUCCUCUAACCAUUUCCUUUCCGACCCGUGCUCCGACUGCAGCUGUGUACACAAAAGAAGGAUUCAUGCAAAGGGGUGUGGGAGACCCUUUAACUCCUUCAAUACCAAGUUCUUAAGCCAUCAGAACUAAACUUGGGCAUGUUUCAGGAAAAAAAUCCAAAAAAGACCUAGUGGCCAGCUUCGAGAAAAGAUGAAGAAGGCCCACUUCAGAAAAAAAUCUACACAGGAACAUCCUUCCAGGACUGACUUUUGACAUUCCCUGACUUUGGAGAUUCUUUAUCAGCCACAUAGAUAGCUAUGCUGAUAUGUUCAGAGGCAGAGUUUUGCAAGUCUCCUCCUGAAGUGCUAGCAAAAUAGCAAAGUUUUGGUCAUGUCAAAACACAGACCAUGCCAUUGGAUAAGGAUGCCAAGAUUGUUGGAGCUCAACCAUCCAGCUACAGACAUGCCUGUUUGACUGCUCUCACAAAAAUGUGUCUAUGUCCACAUUUAUGAAAUGCCUUUCCUCUCCUCUUUUAUUUCCACAUUAAAAUUGCAUCAUGAUGA